UACGUAGGGUGCAAGCGUUAUUCGGAAUUACUGGGCGUAAAGUGUGCGCAGGCGGCCGCGCAAGUCGAGUGUGAAAUCCCCGAGCUUAACUUGGGAAUUGCGCUCGAAACUACGUGGCUGGAGUGUGGCAGAGGAAGGUGGAAUUCCACGUGUAGCGGUGAAAUGCGUAGAGAUGUGGAGGAACACCGAUGGCGAAGGCAGCCUUCUGGGCCAACACUGACGCUCAUGCACGAAAGCGUGGGGAGCAAACAGG
rnacentral:rRNA from 1 species